rnacentral:rRNA from 1 species
GCUAAGACUGGAUAGGAAGAAAUAAGGCAUCUUUUUUCUUUUAAAAGACCUAGUGAUAGGUAUACUUUAGGAGGGGCUUGCGCCAUAUUAGUUAGUUGGUAGGGUAAUGGCCUACCAAGACGAUGAUGUGUAGCUGGACUGAGAGGUUGAACAGCCACAUUGGGACUGAGACACGGCCCAAACUCCUACGGGAGGCAGCAGUAGGGAAUUUUCGGCAAUGGAGGAAACUCUGACCGAGCAACGCCGCGUGAACGACGAAGUACUUUGGUAUGUAAAGUUCUUUUAUCAAGGAAGAAAAGCAAGUGGUGAACCAUUUGUUUGCCGGUAGUUGAUGAAUAAGCCCCGGCUAAUUAUGUGCCAGCAGCCGCGGUAAGACAUAAGGGGCAAGUGUUAUCCGGAAUUAUUGGGCGUAAAGGGUGCGUAGGCGGUCUAGUAAGUCAGUGGUGUAAUGGCAACGCUCAACGUUGUCCGGCUAUUGAAACUGCUAAACUUGAGUUAGAUAGAGGCGAGUGGAAUUCCAUGUGUAGCGGUAAAAUGCGUAAAUAUAUGGAGGAACACCAGAGGCGUAGGCGGCUCGCUGGGUCUUAACUGACGCUGAGGCACGAAAGCGUGGGGAGCAAACAGGAUUAGAUACCCUGGUAGUCCACGCCGUAAACGAUGAGUACUAAGUGUCGGGUUAAACCGGUACUGAAGUUAACACAUUAAGUACUCCGCCUGAGUAGUACGUACGCAAGUAUGAAACUUAAAGGAAUUGACGGGACUCCGCACAAGCGGUGGAUCAUGUUGUUUAAUUCGAAGAUACCCGAAAAACCUUACCAGGUCUUGACAUGUUUUUGCGAAACGGUAGUAAUAUCGUGGAGGUUAUCAGAAACACAGGUGGUGCAUGGUUGUCGUCAGCUCGUGUCGUGAGAUGUUAGGUUAAGUCCUAAAACGAGCGAAACCCUUAUCGUUAGUUGCCAGCACGUUAUGGUGGGGACUUUAACGAGACUGCCAGUGAUAAAUUGGAGGAAGGUGAGGAUCACGUCAAAUCAGCAUGCCCCUUAUGACCUGGGCUACAAACGUGAUACAAUGGCUGUUACAAAGGGUAGCUGAAACGCAAGUUCUUGGCCAAUCCCCAAAAACAGUCUCAGUCCGGAUUGAAGUCUGCAACUCGACUUCAUGAAGUUGGAAUCGCUAGUAAUCGCGAAUCAGCAUGUCGCGGUGAAUACGUUCUCGGGGUUUGUACACACCGCCCGUCA